rnacentral:rRNA from 1 species
UACGUAGGGUGCAAGCGUUGUCCGGAAUUAUUGGGCGUAAAGAGCUCGUAGGCGGUCUGUCGCGUCUGCUGUGAAAACUCAGGGCUUAACCCUGAGCUUGCAGUGGGUACGGGGCAGACUAGAGUGCGGUAGGGGAGACUGGAAUUCCUGGUGUAGCGGUGAAAUGCGCAGAUAUCAGGAGGAACACCGGUGGCGAAGGCGGGUCUCUGGGCCGU